UACGAAGGGAGCUAGCGUUGUUCGGCAUCACUGGGCGUAAAGCGCACGUAGGCGGAUGUGUCAGUCAGGGGUGAAAUCCCGGAGCUCAACUUCGGAACUGCCUUUGAUACAGCACAUCUGGAGUCCGGAAGAGGUGGGUGGAAUUCCUAGUGUAGAGGUGAAAUUCGUAGAUAUUAGGAAGAACACCGGUGGCGAAGGCGGCCCACUGGUCCGGUACUGACGCUGAGGUGCGAAAGCGUGGGGAGCAAACAGG
rnacentral:rRNA from 1 species